CGUGUCCCCGCCGCCCUUCCUGACCGAUGGCGCUGAAGCGGACUCAGAAAGAAUUAAGUGAUCUACAACGUGGUCCACCGGCUCACUGUUCAGCUGGACCCGUGGGAGAUGACUUGUUCCACUGGCAAGCAACUGUUAUGGGACCUCCUGAUAGCGCACAUCAAGGUGGUGUCUUCUUUCUCACUGUGCAUUUUCCGACAGACUAUCCUUUUAAACCACCAAAGAUUGCUUUCACUACAAAAAUUUACCAUCCAAAAAUAAACAGUAAUAGAAGUAUUUGUCUUGACAUCCUGAGGUCUCAGUGGUCACCAGCCUUGACUGUAUCAAAAGUUUUAUUGUCCAUAUGUUCUCUGCUUUGUGAUCCUAACCCAGAUGACCCCUUAGUACCAGAUAUUGAACAAAUCUAUAAAUCAGGCAAAGAAAAAUAGAACAGACACGCAAGAGAAUGGACUCAGAAAUAUGCAAUGUAAAUUCAAAAAAACUUUCACAUAUACCAGAGUACUGGAAUCUAGGUUUUUUUCAACAUUAGCGGUAAAUUGAGCACUGUUUACUGUUUCAUUGUACCAUGAAACCCUUUGAUUUUAUCCAUUUUAAAUGUUUCUGAAGCAAGACAAAACAGACUUCCAAAAAUACCUUAAGACUGUGAUG